UACGUAGAUGGCAAGCGUUGUCCGGAAUUAUUGGGCGUAAAGCGCGCGCAGGCGGUCCUUUAAGUCUGAUGUGAAAGCCCACGGCUCAACCGUGGAAGGUCAUUGGAAACUGGAGGACUUGAGUACAGAAGAGGAAAGCGGAAUUCCACGUGUAGCGGUGAAAUGCGUAGAGAUGUGGAGGAACACCAGUGGCGAAGGCGGCUUUCUGGUCUGUAACUGACGCUGAGGCGCGAAAGCGUGGGGAGCAAACAGG
rnacentral:rRNA from 1 species